ACUUGGAUAACCGUAGUAAUUCUAGAGCUAAUACAUGCAUUAAAUCUGGACUGUUAUGGAAGAGAUGUAUUUAUUAGAUAUCAACCAACCCUCUUCGGAGGUUUUAGGUGAGUCAUAAUAACUUUGCGAAUCGCAGCGACAUUUGUCGGCGAUGAAUCAUUCAAGUUUCUGCCCUAUCAGCUUUCGAUGGUAGUGUAUUGGACUACCAUGGCGGUGACGGGUAACGGAGAAUUAGGGUUCGAUUCCGGAGAGGGAGCCUGAGAGAUGGCUACCACAUCCAAGGAAGGCAGCAGGCGCGUAAAUUACCCAAUCCCAAUUCGGGGAGGUAGUGACAAUAAAUAUCAAUGCGGGGCCCUUCGGGUCUUGCAAUUGGAAUGAGUACAAUUUAAAUCCCUUAACGAGGAUCCAUU
rnacentral:rRNA from 1 species